rnacentral:rRNA from 1 species
UGGGGAAUCUUGGACAAUGGGGGCAACCCUGAUCCAGCCAUGCCGCGUGAGUGAUGAAGGCCUUAGGGUCGUAAAGCUCUUUCGCCUGUGAAGAUAAUGACGGUAGCAGGUAAAGAAACCCCGGCUAACUCCGUGCCAGCAGCCGCGGUAAUACGGAGGGGGUUAGCGUUGUUCGGAAUUACUGGGCGUAAAGCGCACGUAGGCGGACCAGAAAGUUGGGGGUGAAAUCCCGGGGGCUCAACCCCGGAACUGCCUCCAAAACUAUUGGUCUAGAGUUCGAGAGAGGUGAGUGGAAUUCCAAGUGUAGAGGUGAAAUUCGUAGAUAUUUGGAGGAACACCAGUGGCGAAGGCGGCUCACUGGCUCGAUACUGACGCUGAGGUGCGAAAGUGUGGGGAGCAAACAGGAUUAGAUACCCUGGGUAGUCCACACCGUAAAACGAUGAAUGCCAGUCGUCGGGUAGCAUGCUAUUCGGUGACACACCUAACGGAUUAAGCAUUCCGGCCUGGGGAGUACGGUCGCAAGAUU